GGGGAUUUAGCUCAGUGGUUAGAGCACCUGCCUGGCAAGCACAAGGUCCCGAGUUCGAUCCCCGGUACCA
rnacentral:tRNA from 1 species